rnacentral:lncRNA from 1 species
CGGAAACUAGGCAAGGACUUCACCUUUGUGUCCCUAUCCAAAUGGUUCACUAAGUUUAUUGUAAACUAUAUAAUGAACAAUAACCACACACUCUCCAAAUCGUUUGAUGUGUAUAACACAAUUGAAAUAAGUUUCAAGAGAGAUAGUGGGAGUUUAGGGACCAUGACUAUUGUGGUCAAAAGGAGAAGUCAAAUGAAGAAAGCGAAAUAAACUCCAAGGGAACAAACUUUCUUUAUGAAAGGAUGGACAUUGGAAGGGGUAUUUGCAAGAAAUGUCUUGCAAGUGUCAAGAACACACCUUUCGAAGGUGUUGUAAAUUGUUUUUGAAAAGUUCAAAACAGUUGGUUCUUCUACUUGAAUGCUUGAUUCUGUAUUAGUAACUAUGUUUUGCAAUCGUUGUAAAAGUGUGGCUAAUAAGAAGUAGAAGAUUAAUGAGAGAAGAGAAAGUACUUCACAUUCGGAAAGUGAAUCAAAUGUAGAUCUGCGAAAGCAAAUGGUACUUACUUCCUCAUAUGAACUACCAAAGAAAUUGGAAAAACCAAAGAUUGUCUUUACAUUCCAAUUUUAAGGAACUUAAUUCCAUCACUAUAAGGGAUGGAUGAAUGUUUUGUUUGACAAAACAUUGUUCUUUAUUAAUUAAUGAUUAGAUUAUUGUAAUCCAAUUGAUUGUCUUUAUAGUAGAGAUGAUAUGGUAGUGUUAACUGUUUAGAAUAUAACGAUGCUCAAAACCCAAAAGGUUGCAAGGUAGUGACUAAUCCCAACUGAGUUGUGAUACCUCUAAACAUAAAUUACGAGUUGGUUAUAGAUGGAUGCUUUGGAUCGUAAGAUCUGGAUCCAAUGCCUUCUUGUUAAAAUUGUAUAGAGGCAAAAUGUUUGAAUCUUUAUUCUUUUGGAAAGGAAGAAAGGAUCACAAAGUUGUUGAGGUUAAUUCACUUAGAUGUUAGUGGCACUUGUCCACAACAUAAUACUACUCAU